rnacentral:rRNA from 1 species
GACGAACGCUGGCGGCGUGCCUAAUACAUGCAAGUUGAGCGCUGAAGGUUGGUACUUGUACCGACUGGAUGAGCAGCGAACGGGUGAGUAACGCGUGGGGAAUCUGCCUUUGAGCGGGGGACAACAUUUGGAAACGAAUGCUAAUACCGCAUAAAAACUUUAAACACAAGUUUUAAGUUUGAAAGAUGCAAUUGCAUCACUCAAAGAUGAUCCCGCGUUGUAUUAGCUAGUUGGUGAGGUAAAGGCUCACCAAGGCGAUGAUACAUAGCCGACCUGAGAGGGUGAUCGGCCACAUUGGGACUGAGACACGGCCCAAACUCCUACGGGAGGCAGCAGUAGGGAAUCUUCGGCAAUGGACGAAAGUCUGACCGAGCAACGCCGCGUGAGUGAAGAAGGGUUUCGGAUCGUAAAACUCUGUUGGUAGAGAAGAACGUUGGUGAGAGUGGAAAGCUCAUCAGGUGACGGUAACUACCCAGAAAGGGACGGCUAACUACGUGCCAGCAGCCGCGGUAAUACGUAGGUCCCGAGCGUUGUCCGGAUUUAUUGGGCGUAAAGCGAGCGCAGGUGGUUUAUUAAGUCUGGUGUAAAAGGCAGUGGCUCAACCAUUGUAUGCAUUGGAAACUGGUAGACUUGAGUGCAGGAGAGGAGAGUGGAAUUC